rnacentral:sRNA from 1 species
UAAGAGCUGAUAAUGGCCUAUCAUCAAA